UGCACAGAAAGAGCCAAUGUGGUAAGGAAAGGACCAGAGCAGAUGGUCUCUAUAGGCCUGUGCCCUGGGCAGCUUUGCCUCUGGGGCUCACAGCAGGCUUGCGUAACUGAGCCCAGCGUGUAAGGGGAUCACCACUGCACCCACAGCUACUGCCCUCACACAGCCUGAGGCAGGACACUCACAGCACACUGUGCUGGUGGCUGCACCAGGAUGGCCUUUGCAGAGCAGCAUAAUAUAGAGCAGGACCAAAGAGAGAUGGGCCACAGAGAGGAUGCACUACCAUAGGUGGGAUGCAGGCACUACUGUGGGUGGCAUGUGGGGAGCAUGGCUGGCUCUGCUCUCUGGGACCCUGUUGGGGCAUGCGCAGCCCUUCAGGACAGGUCAGUCCAUGCCGGCUCACAUGACAGCAGCAAAUGCUUUGGAGCAGUGGCUCAGCGUGGCAGCUGCAGCACCAACCACCUGCAUCACUGAUCACCCUUCAGGACUCCUGGCAAAGCCAGCCACGAAGGGUUGGAAAGGG